rnacentral:rRNA from 1 species
ACCUCUUACCAUUCCGAACAGAGAAGUUAAACCUUUUAGCGCAGAUGGUACUGCGAAAGCGGGAGAGUAUGUCGCCGCCUUCU